rnacentral:rRNA from 1 species
UACGAAGGACCCAAGCGUUAUCCGGAUUUAUUGGGUUUAAAGCGCACGUAGGCGGACUUUCAAGUCAGGGGUGAAAUCCCGGAGCUCAACUUCGGAAUUGCCUUUGAUACUGUUGGUCUCGAGUCCGGAAGAGGUGGGUGGAAUUCCUAGUGUAGAGGUGAAAUUCGUAGAUAUUAGGAAGAACACCGGUGGCGAAGGCGGCCCACUGGUCCGGUACUGACGCUGAGGUGCGAAAGCGUGGGGAGCAAACAGG